rnacentral:misc_RNA from 1 species
GAUGAAGAACGCAGCAAAAUGCGAUAAGUAAUGUGAAUUGCAGAAUUCAGUGAAUCAUCGAAUCUUUGAACGCACAUUGCGCCCGCCAGUAUUCUGGCGGGCAUGCCUGUUCGAGCGUCAUUUCAACCAUCAAGCCUUCGCUUGUGUUGGGGCCCCGCGGCUGCCGCGGCCCCCUAAAUCCAGUGGCGGGCUCGUCGUCGUACCGAGCGCAGUAGACAUCCUCGCUCCGGGAACCCGACGGGUGCCGGCCGUGAAACCCCCCCCAUCAAGGUUGACCUCGGAUCAGGUAGGAAUACCCGCUGAACUUAAGCAUAUCAAUAAGCGGAGGA